CAAAGGCUUGGUCCUGACUUUACUGUCAACUUUAGCAAAACUUACACAUGCAAGUCUCCGCCUCCCCGUGAGAAUGCCCUACAGUUCCUCUUCCAGGAACAAGGAGCGGGUAUCAGGCACACUAUUAGUACAGCCCAUGACACCUUGCUUAGCCACACCCCCAAGGGACCGCAGCAGUGAUAAAUAUUAAGCAAUAAGUGCAAACUUGACUUAGUUAAGGCUAAGAGGGUCGGUAAAACUCGUGCCAGCCACCGCGGUUAUACGAGAGACCCAAGCUGACAGCACCUCGGCGUAAAGAGUGGUUAAAAUUUAUAUAUCAGACUAAAGCCGAACGCCUCCCGGACUGUUAUACGUUGUCGGAAGUCAGAAGACCUCUUACGAAAGUAGCUUUAUAAUAUUGAAUCCACGAAAGCUAAGACACAAACUGGGAUUAGAUACCCCACUAUG
rnacentral:rRNA from 1 species